rnacentral:rRNA from 1 species
AACGAACGCUGGCGGCAUGCCUAACACAUGCAAGUCGAACGAGACCUUCGGGUCUAGUGGCGCACGGGUGCGUAACACGUGGGAAUUUGCCUCGGGGUAUGGAAUAACUCAGGGAAACUUGAGCUAAUACCAUAUAAUGUCUUCGGACCAAAGAUUUAUCGCCCUGAGAUAAGCCCGCGUAGGAUUAGCUAGUUGGUGGGGUAAAAGGCUCACCAAGGCGACGAUCCUUAGCUGGUCUGAGAGGAUGAUCAGCCACACUGGGACUGAGACACGGCCCAGACUCCUACGGGGAGGCAGCAGUGGGG